CAGUGUCAACCUGAAGAAUGGGAACAAGUACUGCCUGAAUCCUGAAGCCCAGAAAAUCCGCCAAAUGAUAAAAAAUUUGCAGUCGAAGUACAUGCCCUGAUAUGGAGGGAGGUGACCACCCCCCCAGCUGGCAUCUGAUUGGACACUGAAGCUGGACACCCUCCCCCUGCCCCCAGAUACAGGAACCACGCAGUCCUACUGAUACUCAUACAGAAUAUAUCCACUUGUGUCAUUUAGAUAAUUAAUUGUACAAACAUUGUUGUCUAUUGAUGUGUUCGUAUUGUUACUAAUCACAACCCUGUACUGCAUAAGUGGUUGUGGAAGAUGGCUGUAUUCUGCAUAAUGCAAAAUAUAUUUCUCUAUUGCUGAUAUUUUCUUAAUAUAUAUUUUCCUAUGUAUUGUUAUAUAUAUUUUCUAUGUAGUAUAGCACUAUGUGGCAAGUUGCAUUCAGUUUUUACAUUAUAUAAUAUACUCAUUUAUUAUUAUUUAACUGUAUUCAAUUAAUAAAUACAAAAAACAAACAUCUGU